rnacentral:rRNA from 1 species
UACAGAGGGUGCAAGCGUUAAUCGGAAUUACUGGGCGUAAAGCGUGCGCAGGCGGUUAUGCAAGACAGAUGUGAAAUCCCCGGGCUCAACCUGGGAAUGGCAGUGGAUACUGGGAGGCUAGAGUGUGUCAGAGGAUGGUGGAAUUCCCGGUGUAGCGGUGAAAUGCGUAGAUAUCUGGAGGAACACCGGUGGCGAAGGCGGCAUCCUGGACCGACACUGACGCUGAGGAGCGAAAGCCAGGGGAGCAAACGGG